rnacentral:snRNA from 1 species
GUGCUUACUUCAGCAGCACAUAUAUUAAAACUAGAGUGAUAUAGAGAUUAGGAUGGUCCUUAUGUAGAAAUGAUAUGCAAAUUUGUGAUGCAGUCCAUAUUUUU